rnacentral:rRNA from 1 species
GUGGGGAAUCUUGCGCAAUGGGCGAAAGCCUGACGCAGCCAUGCCGCGUGAAUGAUGAAGGUCUUAGGAUUGUAAAAUUCUUUCACCGGGGACGAUAAUGACGGUACCCGGAGAAGAAGCUCCGGCUAACUUCGUGCCAGCAGCCGCGGUAAUACGAAGGGGGCUAGCGUUGCUCGGAAUUACUGGGCGUAAAGGGCGCGUAGGCGGACAGCUUAGUCAGAGGUGAAAGCCCAGGGCUCAACCUUGGAAUUGCCUUGGAUACUGGCUGUCUUGAGUUUGGGAGAGGUGAGUGGAACUCCGAGUGUAGAGGUGAAAUUCGUAGAUAUUCGGAAGAACACCAGUGGCGAAGGCGACUCACUGGCCCAAUACUGACGCUGAGGCGCGAAAGCGUGGGGAGCAAACAGGAUUAGAAACCCCAGUAGUCC